rnacentral:rRNA from 1 species
UACGGGGGGGGCAAGCGUUGUUCGGAAUUACUGGGCGUAAAGGGCUCGUAGGUGGCCAACUAAGUCAGACGUGAAAUCCCUCAGCUUAACUGGGGAACUGCGUCUGAUACUGGAUGGCUUGAGUUUGGGAGAGGGACGCGGAAUUCCAGGUGUAGCGGUGAAAUUCGUAGAUAUUGGGAAGAACACCGGUGGCGAAGGCGGCGCUCUGGACCGAGACUGACGCUGAGGCGCGAAGGCGUGGGGAGCAAACAGG